AGUAUUCUAUGGUCGAAGGCUAAACUUCGAUAUAUUUUGGUAAUACAAAUUUGCGUGGCAAAUUUGAUUUUGUUUCGGUAUGUCUUGAGGCGGUUCUGACUGCUGAUCGGAAGUGAAACGCAAUGAAGUAAAAUACCAAACAAAAGAUGGCAUUGAAAAGUACCUGUAUUUGUCUGUAGCAGUCAACUAAUAAAAUGUGAAACGGCGUAUUUAACACAAAACUUGUAUUCGUAUGUUUUAUUUGUAAUUCUUAGUCAUUUCGAAGUUGAGUGGGUAGUCAUAAUAUUUCUGUAAGAUUAAAUUUUAUUUUACUUCCAUAGGUUGCAUUAUAUCAUACUAUUCAAAAUAUCAGUUUCAUCGAAGUUAAUGAAGGAAUUGCCAGCAGUGCAUUAGACAUACUCAGGUUGUGACUGUAAGACGUUUCAUUAAAUAAGGAAUACGGAACUAUUAUGUUUGGGAAACUAAUUGCAGUCAAGUGUAUCAGAUGACCCAAACCUCAGCAUAAUUUCCCUAUCAUGUUUGGAAGAAAAGUAGAGUUUUCAGAAGUGUUUUGUGUAAAAUAGCAGUAAACUGAAGCUGUCAUCAUAGUAAUUAAAGGAAUAUUAACUUGGA